GGGUUUUCUACUUGGAGAUUUCUCUUAUUGGAGUAUUUGGGCCCAGAUGCUUGUGAUAGAAAAAUCAACUCCUUAAUCUGGCCCAGGUUUGCAUGAGUGCUUAUUUGGUAGGAUUGAGAAGAAGGAACAAGAAGAUGAACGAGGCAGGACUGCAUCUUUAAUGACUGAUUCAGUUCGGUUUUGGCAGAAGAUUUUGCUCACUUCUGUUACUGAAUACCUACUCUCCAUAUUACACUUUGUGGGACAUCUGUUAACAUGAUUGCUGGUAUGCUGAAUAUGCAGUGUGGACAUGUGAGUUCUAGUGCUCUGGAGAACGCAUUGCACCAGAAUGGCUUUUCCUGUGAAAGAGGUCGUAACUGCAUCCAGGGAAAUCAUUAAUGGGAGUUCCUCUUAUCUUUCUUCAUGGAAGGAAAAUGUAUCCGUUUCUGUGCUCAAGUGCUGCUUCUGCAUGAGCCCUGCAGGAAUCCUGGCUGCUACUGCAGUUUCCUGCAGUGCCUGAGGUUACAACUACAUCAAAGCACAUAUUUAAUUCCCAUGUUACUUCAACAGCAAGAUAUGUGCACAGACUGACCUGAAGAAAAAAAGACUGCCACCGUAAGUGACAUGAAUUGAGACUGUCAUGAUUUUUAAUUCCUACCACAGAGGAACUACGAAGGUACUUCAUCUAUAUUAUAAAUUGUCAGAUUAAAAAAAAAGGGACCAGGUGUUCAAGCAUACGAAGCUUGGAUUUUACUGCUGUAGCACUCUGUAAUAGUCGGUUCCCAGAAUCAGGAAACACUGGAGACAACAUAGACACUGGCUCAUUUCAGCAUUCAUUUAGUGUGGAUUGACAAACAGAAGCCUGCUGCAGCUUGUGUGCUUUAGUUUGGCUGGAUCCAGCUAAAUGCCAAAGGUAUGAUCCUGAAUCUCCCAUAAGACUUAUUUUUUGGGCUUUACAUCAGACGCAUCCUUCAAAUGGUAACAUCUAGUCUUACUCAGUUGUCAAAAAGAAAGGAGAAGUGCCAUGCAGCAGUCUGGACACUCAGUCAUACACCAUUCUUCAUUUCUUUCCAUUUCUUUCAGAAUCUCUAAGAACCAGACCCUCCAUAAGAAAUGCAAUACUGACAGUGAGUGAUACACCAUGCAGAGGAGCAUUUUCAGAACUUCUACUUGCCUGUAUUUAAAAACAGCAACAACAACAACAAAAAACCCUACAUUCUGAGAUAGUAAGGAAACCCUUGCUCCCAACCAGAAGAGUCUCAUGGCUAUCAGUUCUCUAUUUGCAUAUAAGACCCUUUCAUGAAAUGCUAAUAACAUUAAACACAACAGCUUGGCUACACACAUAAUGAAGUUACAAGAGUUUUGUAAUUGAGAUGAAAAAUCCAAGUAAUGAGGUAAGAAGCAUAAAGAAAUGAAAUGGAAAAUUAAAAUGUGAAUAAAUGAACUGUGAUGCUUAUCUCUGCUUAUCAAAACUACUCAAUACUGAAUGAUGCAAAUUUGAAUUAUGGUUUGUAUGACCAGGAGUAUCUCAACUAAACCAAGUGCUAAAAAAAAUGUGCACAAACUUUCUAAGCAAUAUUACUCAUUUCCAGAAUGCUUUAUUCAAUGUUAUGAGCAUAUAAUAAAAUUAAGUGUUAAAAAAAACUCCGUCAUAACUGGUGGCCACUAAGACCACGGCCAAAGAAGUUAAUGAAUCCUAUUCCUCUAGGUGGGUGUGCACCUAAUCAAGAUGAAAAAUCUCUCAAAAAGGAAGAGUUAAAUGUAGUUACACCCAGUAAAAUUGCUCCAAGCAUUCAUGCAAAGUUUUAAGAGAUUUGACACAAGGCCAGUUGAAAUUGGCAUAAACCUUUACAAAGACAUCAGUGGACAUUGAUCCAAGACUUCUGUUGUGCUAUUUUCCAACUGUCGAGCUCUUAAAAAACACAAAUCAUUGAUUCAAACAUCUUAACGAGAGUUACAGCACGUAUCAGAGGCACAAAGUACAACUUUUACUUCCACUUAAAUAAAAGUGUAAAAGAAGAACUUUUUUGAAACAGACAGAAUAAGAACAGAUGACCUAAGAACGGUUUCUGGAUAUUUAAAAUUAGCUGAGGACCACAACCACAAGUUGCCUUUUAUCUCAUAUUCACAUUAUAGUAUUUUUGGAACCAUCUAAUGUCACAGCAUCCUGGAGCCUUUUCUCAUCCUUUUUGUAAUGAAAACUCAUGAAAUCAUCUUAGCUGCAGUUUAUUUUAAUCAAAGCUAAAAAUUCUUGUUUUCUAUCCUGAAGUGCUGCUAAGUUUCUGGUCAUUUAACAUCACAAAUGAAACACCUGAGACCUAUCUCUGCCACCAGCUGCUUCCCUUGCUGGAAGGAGGGACUACCCUCAUUCACAUGUACAACCUCUGGCAAUUAUCUGCAAGACCAUUUCACAUUGUGGAUUAAUGAGCAUCUCAGAAGCAGAAAAAGGAUAUGAUGGAAAUCCACAGAUCAUUAAGCUAUUCACACAACUUAGAACUACCAGCCAACAGCUAUAUGUUGCCGUAGGGCCCAAACUUGCCUCCAAAACUGGGCAAAUGUCUUCAGAAACCAACAUACUGUACUGUGUGCCAGAAAAAGGAAGAGGUCCCCCAAAACACUUGAAGCUCAGAGUUCACCAGGAUGAUGGAGAGAUGAGUCCUUUCCAUUGGGUUUUAUAGGUGGAUAAUGGUGGUCUUUCAUGAAGUACAGAGAUGAUCUUCAUGUUUGAGAUCCAAUUCUGCACAUGGUCCAAGGCAGCUGGUGGCAAGCCAACCCUGACUAGAAGCAAAGUAGCUGCUGAGAAACUGGCUUUAUGAACUCAAGCACAGCAUAACGUUCAUGUGUCUACAUGGUAUUUUGGAAUGGAGAUAGUUAGUGGCCAGCAGUUUGGAGAACAGCAAUGGUCAUUUCAGAUCCACUUCAAAUGCAUACUCAGACCUGACAGUCCCCUACAUAUAUAGCAGCAGCCUGAUACAAAAUUCUCUCAAGAGAGGGGAAAGGUGCCAGUUGUUUAUAAUGAGUUUUGGGUCAAGCCUUGAAAAAGGGGGUAGAGAUACAGCUUUCUCAUACAUACCACAGAAUUUUUGUUUCUCCAAAGCAAAGAUAAUCAACCAAUAAGAGCAGAAGGUUGUUCAAAGCAAUCCCACAUCGUGUAAGCAGUCAUAAAAAUAAUUAUUUAUUUAGAGAAUGUGUAAUGGAAGUUGCCUCACCUCUUGGGAUUGGUUAAAUUGGUAGUCUGAAAAACAUGCAAGACUACAACCUUACUUACUACAGUGAUAAGCCAAAUUAUUUCCAAGAAUUAUAGCCAGCAGUAUAGUACAUAGCGACCUGGAAUUAGAGAUACCUGAUAUCACUAACUGACUUUUUGAGAGAUGGGUUAUUGAGUACCUCUCAGGUUAGGGUCAAAAUGUCAGUGCUCUGGAAACAAUAAUAAAAAUGAGUAAAUUAAGAUGUAAAAUUGGGUAGAAAAAAUACAAGCUACAUAUCUGGCAAAGCAGAAUGAAGGAGCUGAAUUGUAGCAAGUGUAGCUGAGGUGAAAGAUAUCUUUACCCUUGGGAAGCAGCAUGAGCAAACAGCCAAACCAAUGGCAGUAUAUCAUGGUAAUUAAAGAAGUUUGUUCACUCUCUGCUAUGACCUACAGCCUUCUGGACUGUAGCUACAAUUGGGACAGCAGCAGCUAACAGAGCUAAGGCAUAUUUUGCCUCCAUAUGUUGUUUCUGCUCCCCUCAGAAGGGCAUUUCACCCAUGUGCCCAUGUUGUUGAAGCACUGGGUGAAUUAAAGAAGGUUCUGAGGCAGAGCAACAGGGACACAAUCCAUCAUUUUCCAACAAAGAGUGAAAGGUCUAAAUACACAUACUACAGGCUGUUAAAUGACUGACUUUUAGAGUGCUGAACAUCCAGGAGCUCCUGUAGAACAGAACAUUGUCUCUAGACUGCAAGCAUUUUCAGGGUGCAUUUAUACCAGUUUGGGAAAGAAAAUGUUCUGGGAAACUAGUGAGAAUGGACUCUCAUGAGGUUUCCAAUAAUAUACAGGCAUUAUUGAAGUCAGAGAUCCCACGAGUAAAACUCAGAGCAUUUUCAUUUUUGAUCCUAUCCCAAACCAGGCAGCACAAAGUCAUGCAAACAUACUAAACAAAAGAGAAUUUAAAUUAACUAAACUUUUCCCUAGCUUUUAUGUUUGCCAAACAAAUUCAUCCAUUCUUCAGAAAAGUAUCAAGUCUGUACAAGGGCAGCUUCUAAUGACUAUCCCAGUCAGGCAAGAACAAAUGUAAUAUUUUAUUGGUCUCAGUCCUUGGCUAAUGAGAAUAACCUCAGCAGACCUCUCCUGAUUUUCACCAGAUUGUAGUAACUGGCUGCGUACCACAGCAAAUGUUUAGGUUAAAUUAAUGGACUUUAUAUAUACUAAAAUAUUUUUAUCAUCAAAGAAGUAUUAGAAUCACUGGUUGCCUAUUUCAACUUAAGAACUGUACAGAAGAUCACAUGUUUCUUUAGGUUCUAAGUGAGUCAUAGGAAAACUCAGUUUACUUUGUUUUCUAACAUAAUGUAGAUUUCUUGCAAAUGCAAAAUGUAAGGAAUUCUUAACAACAUAGCAUUUUAUUAUCUACGGAUCUGACAGAAGGAAAGUAAGAAGUUGAAACUGCAAUCUGAGCUGGUCGUGAAAGACUACUCUGUAUGGCUGCUCAAAAGAAGUGCUAUGCAGAACUUUCAGCAAUUACUAAAACAAGGUAACAAAAUUGCACGUCUUUAAUUAUUCCUACAUGAACAAAGACAACGUUACCUCUGAAUAGUGCCUUUGUAUUUCUGCAGUUGACUGAACUUGUUUAAAACAUCUUUUUGCAACUCUCUGUCAACAUAUGGCAAAUAAGGAAAUACUCUUUAUUUUUUCCUCCACUGAAAGUAAUUGAACCACUCACGUUGGUAUUUAAAUGUAUUAAAUUGGCAUUUAUUGCAGGGUAAUGAGAUAUUCUAGAACUAACACAAAGUUGAUGGUUUAGCCAAAGAUUAAAUACAUGCUCUUAAGUACCUGAGCUUCCUCAUUUAUCAUGUUAAAACAAAACAAAACAAACAGCAAAAAACCCACACAAACGGGCAUCAUAAAUAGAAGAAAAAUACUGAUGUAGACUACAGCAUUAUGAUACCAUGGACAGACUGUUAAGAUUUAAAUGCCAAAGGUUUGCCAAGCAGCACUCAAGAUCACUUCAUUAACAAUUCCAUCAGUAUGGGUACUGACUGAGUUUUUGGCUUGUUAUAAUGUUUCUGGAAAGCAAUUAGCUAAAACCAACAACUUGAAUUAAGGCUUGGUGGCUGUACAAGCAGUUGGGUACUGCCUGUUUAAGCAAAUCCCUUCAACUGUAAGAUAAAAUCUAGAUGUUUUAUUAGUUAUGACAGUUCUAAAAUCCAACACAAAGUAAACAGGAAACAGCAGGAUUGUUUUAUGAAUACACUUAUGUUUCACUUUUCCUAAAAAGAGGCAGCCCAUAUUUGUCAUGUGCUGUCUUAUAGUUGAUUAGUUACUUAUGGCACACGAAGAGUAAUAAACCAACUGACCUCAGAAGAUAACUUAGUCUCCUAAACUAGCAUGUAACAAAGGUCAUUGCUGGAUCAGGACUUAAAAGAAUUCUCUGCACAUGAGAGAAGCCCUACCUUUUGGAAAUUUUGAAGCACAGAAGGCACAGACCUCCUUGUCCUCUCACUUUGGGUGGCAGCACAAAAUAAAAGCACCAUUUAUGUUCUACUCAGAUCUCUGAAAUGUGACUUCAAGAUACCUAGAUCAUUAGCAAGAAUUGUACUGCUCAAAGGACUGGGUGCAAUGAAAAUGCACUGGAAAGACUCUCCUCCUUCAUGUACAGCUAAUCAGUUUUAUGUUGAUGGGAUUAAUAUAUAUUAAUAUUCUUAGGGAAACUGUAUGGCUUCUGAAUGAAUCUUCCGAUCCUGCAAUUGUGAUAAAGGCAAAACCAGUAACAUCAUUUAAAUAAUAAUGACAUUGAAAAAAGACUGCUUAAAGAAAAAAUACGGAUGAUGAUGAUAGAUAACUAAAACCAGUACUUGGAAAUUCUUUUCCAUAGGUACUUAGCAUUAGCAGAUGCUUGCUUGAGUGUUUCCGAUCAGCAACAUUCCUUCCUAUCGGACAUGCAACUCCAAACACUACAAGUCAUAAAUCAGGCCUCACAGGAAACAAUACUGUAAAUUGUGAGAUUUUAAAACAUAAUACUGAAGGUCUUUGGUGUUUUGUUUGCUUUCUGAUUUCUUGAACCAUUUUGGAUGAAUCUUUAAUUUUUUUUUUUUUUUUUUUUUACUCUUUUAUGAUUGUGUGUAUGAGAAUCAGACUUUUUCUUUAGUGAAAACUCAGCUUUUCCUGUGAUGUUAGAAUUUUGGCAGCUAUUCUUUUCAGGAGAACUUUACGUAUCAUGAGAGUGGCAGAAAAGCCUGAAAGACACCCUGUUGAAGUUGCAGCCAGGAGACACUGAACACACUCAGACAGCACACCGCUAGCUGACAGCAGACACUUCGCUCUGUUCAGUGACUUACGCUGACCACACCAAAGAUCCUCAGGGAAUGCUUUAGACAGUGACAGUUUGCUACCCAUGCCUACUUUUCCCCAGUGAAGAUCUUCCAGAUAAAAGCUUUGGCCUGGCAGAGCUGAUGCAAAUGCAUUUGAGGGGGCAGAAGAUCUGAGACUGUCUGACCUGGGAUAAUUUGCAUUCAAACCAAAUAAAUCCAGUUCAAUUCC